AUGUCGCCUGUCCCUAAACAAUUUGAACUUGUCAAGCGUAAUCAGUUUUCCUUUCAUUUGCUCUGACAUUUACCGCCGCCAACGAAGCCGACGUUGACGCAUGGCCAUGUCAUCAGCUCUCCAGCUCCUCAACUCUCCAGCUGCUUGGCCAUCCACGAGGCACCAACGUGUCCGGCUUCUUGGCCAGAAACGCAGACGCAGACGUGGACGCAGCUCGGUGGCAAUUAUCAAAAAGCGCGCAGCUUUUCACACGCAGCCGAUCGAUCGCAGUCGCAUUGCUGGGAUGCUGCAGUUGCAGUUGGUGUCGGUCGCAAUUGGAGUCGCACUAGUCGCAGAUACAGCGGUGUCACUAAUUACGGCUCAUUAUAGUGACCAAAGUGUAACAUGUUGUCAGCUACGAGGACAACCAGCAAAUGUAAUGGGAGAGAAAUAAACGAAGGUGUCAGUGCAGUGAUUGCAGUCUGG
ensembl:ncRNA lncRNA:CR44681 long non-coding RNA:CR44681